rnacentral:rRNA from 1 species
GAUGAACGCUGGCGGCGUGCCUAAUACAUGCAAGUCGAACGCAUUGUGGUUGAAAUGAUAUGAAGAACUUGUUCAGAUUUGAUUUUCAACAUUGCAAUGAGUGGCGAACGGGUGAGUAACACGUGGGAAACCUACCUCUUAGCAGGGGAUAACAUUUGGAAACAAAUGCUAAUACCGUAUAAUAAUUAAAACCGCAUGGUUUUAGUUUAAAAGAAUGGUCUUGCUAUCACUAAGAGAUGGUCCCGCGGUGUAUUAGUUAGUUGGUGAGGUAAUGGCUCACCAAGACAAUGAUACAUAGCCGAGUUGAGAGACUGACCGGCCACAAUGGGAC